rnacentral:rRNA from 1 species
UUAAUAUAAGAGUUUGAUCCUGGCUCAGGAUGAACGCUGGCGGCGUGCUUAACACAUGCAAGUCGAGCGAAAAUAAUURRGAGCUUGCUUUUAAUUAUUUUAGCGGCGGACGGGUGAGUAACGUGUGGGCAACCUGCCUUUUACUGUGGAAUAAUCACUGGAAACGGUGACUAAUACCGCAUACGGUUCUUAGGAGGCAUCUUCUAAGAAAGAAAGGAUUUAUUCGGUAAAAGAUGGGCCCGCAUCUGAUUAGCUAGUUGGUGAGAUAAUAGCCCACCAAGGCAACGAUCAGUAGCCGACCUGAGAGGGUGACCGGCCACAUUGGGACUGAGACACGGCCCAAACUCCUACGGGAGGCAGCAGUGGGGAAUAUUGCACA